GCCUGAUGGAGGGGGAUAACUACUGGAAACGGUAGCUAAUACCGCAUAACGUCGCAAGACCAAAGAGGGGGACCUUCGGGCCUCUUGCCAUCGGAUGUGCCCAGAUGGGAUUAGCUAGUAGGUGGGGUAACGGCUCACCUAGGCGACGAUCCCUAGCUGGUCUGAGAGGAUGACCAGCCACACUGGAACUGAGACACGGUCCAGACUCCUACGGGAGGCAGCAGUGGGGAAUAUUGCACAAUGGGCGCAAGCCUGAUGCAGCCAUGCCGCGUGUAUGAAGAAGGCCUUCGGGUUGUAAAGUACUUUCAGCGGGGAGGAAGGCGAUAAGGUUAAUAACCUUGUCGAUUGACGUUACCCGCAGAAGAAGCACCGGCUAACUCCGUGCCAGCAGCCGCGGUAAUACGGAGGGUGCAAGCGUUAAUCGGAAUUACUGGGCGUAAAGCGCACGCAGGCGGUCUGUCAAGUCGGAUGUGAAAUCCCCGGGCUCAACCUGGGAACUGCGUUCGAAACUGGCAGGCUAGAGUCUUGUAGAGGGGGGUAGAAUUCCAGGUGUAGCGGUGAAAUGCGUAGAGAUCUGGAGGAAUACCGGUGGCGAAGGCGGGCCCCCUGGACAAAGACUGACGCUCAGGUGCGAAAGCGUGGGGAGCAACAGGGAUUAGAUACCCUGGUAGUUCCACCGCCCGUAAACGAUUGUCGACUUGGGAGGGUUGUGCCCCUUGAAGCCGUGGGCCUUCCGGAGCUAAC
rnacentral:rRNA from 1 species